AGGGCUUCUCUUUAGAUGAAGACUGACGAUCCUACUUAGUGACAGAACCCAGCAUCAGAUUUAUCAGCAGUCCAUUCAGAUACUGAUUAAGUGGGAUCUAGGCUGGAAGCAACCAUUUCAUUUAAUUUGAGGAGGGUCAAGUCAUCUUUUUUUAACAGACAUCAUGCAAAACAGCAACCAAUGUAUCAAUGUUGAAACAUUGCGAAAGUAAGAAACCAAAUAGAUCAUAGACGAUACAAGAAAUUUUGAAAAAAAAACAAAAACAAUUAAAAUGCAAUGGUACGGUCCAUCCAGAAUAAAAAUUCUGGUCUAAGAAUGGAGUUCAAAGGUUAAGAUGCAAACAUUAGUCAUGUCAGAGCCAUUACUUGGUGGGAGUAGAUAAGGUCACUGGGGUGCCCUGCCAUGUACAGAUGACGAAGAUCCAGCACUGGUUAACAGCAUUGUUAUCACAUAGGAAUAUCUCACACGGGAAAAACUACAAUUAUCUUCACAUACAAUAUGGGAAGCUGGGAGCAAACAUGACCGACUGCCGCCACCGCACCCACUUGACUUCUAAUGCAGGCAUCUAAUUUGCUGGAGGACCCUCAAACAGCAGGACGGGUCCAGGAGGCAACGACAACACAGCACACACUCAAGACUGCCAGAAACUUUCCCCUACAAAGUUUGCCUUGGCUGACCCCCAGUGAAGUAUGACAGCAACUCAAAAAGGUAUUUCCACAAAAACACAAACGCUUAUCCGAAAUGAUAAAAUUUGUCUUACAUUUAUUUACUACAUUAUAUAGAUGUGCAAUACCGUAUAAGGCUGUUUUCGACGUUUCAGGUAUUUGUGUUUGCUCCAUGGUUUUAUGGUUAUUUGUUUUUGAGAACAGCCAUACAUACCAACGCUUUACAGUCAACAAGCGUCCAGCCUUCAAAGUUCCGUUCACACCCCUACCAAUGUCUCUCUGUAAUAUGUUCUCUUGAAAAUUAUUAUUAAAAUCAACAAUCGUAUUAAUCCAACAAUAUGGCUUGCCUUUUUGAAAUAAAAAUGGCAUAUUUCCUACGAACUCAGAAAUCUGCCAUAUCUUCUCCUAAACCCAAUACCUACCCAACCAUAUGAAAUCUACAAAUCACAUGUUACAACUGUUUGGAUACAAAAAAAAACCUUCUACUAACUGAAUGCCAGGAAAAGAUUUGGCUAAGAUCCAGCCAGGCAUGAAAAAGUCCUAACACUAACAUACUAUAGAAGCUUUUAGCAAAAAUCCCUUCUAAAACUCAGCUUACAGUUUUUUCCUAAUUUGGCCCAAAGUGAUCAGAUUUGUGUUGAAGCCCCAUUCUUGUAGAAUGACUAGUACUUUCCAGAAUUUGGAAUAAGUAGACAGAAAUUGCAGAAAAGAGAGGAAUUUUCUCAACGAUAGACUUUGGUUGGAAAAAUUAUGGGAUCAUAACGUUUCAAGGAAAACCAUUGGUUAUAUCUAACUAUUUUUCUAAAACUGCAAACGAUCGGAAAGGGUUCGGAUAGCGUCUUUGGCGUUUUGGCUAAUCUACAACACUAUUACAAGCUAGUUCCCGGUGGAAGAAUCUACAGAAAAAUCGUUAGAGGGCAGUUAUUCAAGGAAAAAUCGCAGCAGUUGGUCUGACUUACCAUAAUCGCUGGUUUGAACAAAAACACAGCAAGAACAGAGCCCCAAAUCUCACGCCUCAAAACUACAAACAAACUCAAUCUAUAUCUCUAGGUGUUGUUAAGUAUAAGCAACAAUGAAAUAAAAUCUUUAGAACCCUUUUUCUGAGCAUAAACCGUUCAGAUGCUACGAUAUUAUCAAAUCCUAGACGAGAAAAUCCCCCCGGUGUCUCCUGUUACACUGUGUAGAUUUUCAUGAACAGCAACAUGUAGAAAAUCGGCUGCUUUUCGUCGCGAUGGCCUGCCUGGUAGCAGACGAAUAUUCGUACACAGACUAAUUUAUUGUACAUCUACACAAUCUUUUGGCAGUUUGGAAGAUUGUUUGAGUUUCUAGAAAGGU